GGCAGACCCAGGGAACUGAAACAUCUAAGUACCUGGAGGAAGAGAAAGAAAAAUCGAUUUCCUGAGUAGCGGCGAGCGAAACGGAAAGAGCCCAAACCAAGAAGCUUGCUUCUUGGGGUUGUAGGACACUCUAUACGGAGUUACAAAAGAAAGUUAUAAAUGAAGCGGUCUGGAAAGGCCCGCCAAAGACGGUAACAGCCCGGUAGUUGAAAUGGCUUUCCCUCCAGAGUGGAUCCUGAGUACGGCGGAACACGUGAAAUUCCGUCGGAAUCCGGGAGGACCAUCUCCCAAGGCUAAAUACUCCCUAGUGACCGAUAGUGAACCAGUACCGUGAGGGAAAGGUGAAAAGCACCCCGGAAGGGGAGUGAAACAGUUCCUGAAACCGUGUGCCUACAAGUAGUUAGAGCCCGUUAAUGGGUGAUAGCGUGCCUUUUGUAGAAUGAACCGGCGAGUUACGAUUUGUUGCAAGGUUAAGCGGAAAAAGCGGAGCCGUAGCGAAAGCGAGUCUGAAUAGGGCGCAUAAGUAACAGGUCGUAGACCCGAAACCAGGUGAUCUACCCAUGUCCAGGAUGAAGGUAAGGUAAUACUUACUGGAGGUCCGAACCCACGCACGUUGAAAAGUGCGGGGAUGAGGUGUGGGUAGCGGAGAAAUUCCAAUCGAACUUGGAGAUAGCUGGUUCUCUCCG
rnacentral:rRNA from 1 species